AGUUAACUAAGCUUUAGUAUCAAGCGUAUACUUUGAAAGUAUAAGAAAGUGGUUAAAUUCCACUAUUAACUU
rnacentral:tRNA from 1 species